CCUACGGGGGGCUGCAGUGGGGAAUAUUGGACAAUGGGGGGAACCCUGAUCCAGCCAUGCCGCGUGUGUGAAGAAGGCCCUCGGGUUGUAAAGCACUUUCAGUGAGGAAGAACGCCUGGUGGUUAAUACCCAUCAGGAAAGACAUCACUCACAGAAGAAGCACCGGCUAACUCCGUGCCAGCAGCCGCGGUAAUACGGAGGGUGCGAGCGUUAAUCGGAAUUACUGGGCGUAAAGCGCGCGUAGGUGGCUUGAUAAGCCGGUUGUGAAAGCCCCGGGCUCAACCUGGGAACGGCAUCCGGAGCUGUCAAGCUAGAGUGCAGGAGAGGAAGGUAGAAUUCCCGGUGUAGCGGUGAAAUGCGUAGAGAUCGGGAGGAAUACCAGUGGCGAAGGCGGCCUUCUGGACUGACACUGACACUGAGGUGCGAAAGCGUGGGUAGCAAACAGGAUUAGAUACCCUUGUAGUC
rnacentral:rRNA from 1 species